rnacentral:tRNA from 2 species
CCCCGGGUAGCGUAGCGGUAUCGCGGCCGGCUGUAGACCGGCAGGUCCCGGGUUCAAGUCCCGGCCCGGGGA